GGGGGUGUAGCUCAGCUGGCAGAGCGCCUGCUUUGCAAGCAGGAAGUCAGCGGUUCGAAUCCGCUCAUCUCCACCA
rnacentral:tRNA from 1 species